rnacentral:rRNA from 1 species
AGACGUCUACAUUAGAUACCCCCGUAGUCCCAGCCGUAAACUAUGCGCGUUAGGUGUAUCGGUGACCACGAGUCGCCGAGGUGCCGAAGGGAAACCGUGAAACGUGCCGCCUGGGAAGUACGGUCGCAAGGCUGAAACUUAAAGGAAUUGGCGGGGAGCACCACAACGGGUGGAGCCUGCGGUUUAAUUGGACUCAACGCCGGGAAGCUCACCGGAUAAGACAGCGGAAUGAUUGCCGGGCUGAAGACUCUGCAUGACUAGCUG